AGGCGUGUAGCUCAGUGGAUAGAGCAGCAGAUUGAAAACCUGCGUGGCAUUGGUUCAACUCCAAUCUCGUCAACCA
rnacentral:tRNA from 1 species